rnacentral:rRNA from 1 species
GAUGAACGUUAGCGACAGGCCUAACACAUGCAAGUCGAGGGGCAGCACAUGAGUAGCAAUACGAUGGUGGCGACCGGCGCACGGGUGAGUAACACGUAUGCAACCCUGCCUGUAAGAGGGGAAUAACCCGGAGAAAUUCGGACUAAUACCGCAUAAUACCACGAGACUGCAUGGUUUUGUCCCCCCGGUUAAAAUUUAUGGCUUACAAAUGGGCAUGCGUAUGAUUAGCUAGUUGGUAGGGUAAUAGCCUACCAAGGCGACGAUCAUUAGGGGUUCUGAGAGGAAGGUCCCCCACAUUGGAACUGAGAUACGGUCCAAACUCCUACAGGAGGCAGCAGUGAGGAAUAUUGGUCAAUGGACAGAAGUCUGAACCAGCCAAGUCGCGUGAAGGAAGAAGGUCUUACGGAUUGUAAACUUCUUUUAGCAGGGGAAUAAAAGACGGUACGAGUUAUCGUGUUGAAAGUACUUUUGCGAAAAAGGAAUCGGCUAACUCCGUGCCAGCAGCCGCGGUAAAGCUACGU